rnacentral:rRNA from 1 species
AAUCUACCUUAUAUGGGGGGACAACUCGAGGAAACUCGAGCUAAUACCGCAUAAGCCUUACGAGGGAAAGCAAGGGAUCUUCGGACCUUGUGCUAUUAGAUGAGCCUGCGUCGGAUUAGCUUGUUGGUAGGGUAAUGGCCUACCAAGGCAACGAUCCGUAGCUGGUCUGAGAGGAUGACCAGCCACACUGGGACUGAGACACGGCCCAG